GUAAGGCGACAUUUUCUGAUUCUGAUUUCAGAUUUUAACAAUCAAUUUGGUUUUGAAAUAAGGUCAAAAGAUAGGCAAAUUAGAUAGGCUAUUUGACUGUAUGAUAUGUUUUAACACAAAUGGUAUAUUUGUCCAUAGAAGUGUGGCGAUUUGUAAGAGCACAAAUCCCCGCUGUCCUGUUACCGUUGUCUCUGCAGACUGCCACUGCUGCACAACACACAUGCUAUUAAGCCUAUCUCAUAAAAUAUAUUUUUAGCACAAACUGUAUAUUAGUCUAUUGUAGGCUAUAGGCCUAUGUAUUUGGGUUCGGGUUAGAAGCGUCGAUUACCGGUCGUAUGUUUACAUUGAAGAGUGAAAAAUAUUUGCACUCGACAAAAUUUCAGGAGCUAGCUUUCUUGACUUUUCAUAGAUAUGUUUUAUCAUCCAGUAUUUUUCAUUUUCAAAAUCACACUGGGAAAAGCAGUAGGCAACAUGAGUGUAUGGCGGCUGACCUGAAUGUCUUUGUUUUCCAGAAGCUGGGGACAGAGGGGUAGGAAAUGUAUUUACUGAGCAUAUGCCUGCAUGAGGGAGUAUGUGUUGGUUGUAGGUGUUGUGAUUUUCUUAUAUUUAUUCCACCUGCAGUUCACUCUAUUCAGAGGUAAAGACUCUCCUCUGGCUACAGUGUGAAGACUGCAAAGGAUGGCUGCACACAGAUUGUGCUGGUGUCGCAGAGCAAUCCAUCAGAGAUCCCUACUGGUGUGGUUGCAAGAGACCUUUGCCUUUGAACUUUGAUGGGACACUAAGAGUUCUGCAGCAGGAUGGAGUGCAGGGUCUCAUUGGUGACGAUGAGCUCCAGAAAAUACAUCAAGCACUGGUGUCUGAUGAAAUUAAGUCAAGCCGGAUGUAUCUUUGGAGAAAUCCCGGAACCUCAUUGAAACUGAAGCAGCUUUUAAGACCAAAGCGUUUCCUUUUCAAUGAAGAUAAUAGUAUCAAACUACUUGACAGAAUAAAGGGUACUUUGGAGUUGGAUGGUGACUGGACACACUUGAUUUUCUGUUUGAUGUGAUGAAGCCUGAAGUAAGGAAAUAUCAAGUCAAUUCAUUUCACACCUUUUAUGUAAUGUAUAUGUCUAAAUUGGCCCUGGUCAAAAUAAUUGUAAUAAUAUAUUCUGUUACCGUUGUUUUUGAUGAGCAUUUCAAUUGUUGAUGUCUUUGUUAAGGUCACCAUCCACAUCAUCAGAAAGAACGACAGCGUUUGCCGGUACAUGGCUGAGAUGUGCCUUGCCUCAGGAACUGUGUUUGAGUGAAUAUAUAGUGUACUACAGUGUUUUGUACAUGUACAAAAAGUGUUUUGAAUUGUAUUAUUUAUGUUUUCAAAUACAUCUAUUUUUAUUGAAAAUAUGAAUGGUAUGUGUUGAUUUUUAUUUUAUUGAGAGAAAUGCUUGUAAACAAAGAAAACUAAUGUAACCUGGCUGUGCUAACUGACAGGGAACUGCAAUUUAACAGUGUAUUUGAAAAUGAAAAUAC